AGUGAACGCUGGCGGUAGGCCUAACACAUGCAAGUCGAACGGCAGCACAGUAAGAGCUUGCUCUUACGGGUGGCGAGUGGCGGACGGGUGAGGAAUACAUCGGAAUCUACUUUUUCGUGGGGGAUAACGUAGGGAAACUUACGCUAAUACCGCAUACGACCUACGGGUGAAAUCAGGGGAUCUUCGGACCUUGCGCGAUUGAAUGAGCCGAUGUCGGAUUAGCUAGUUGGCGGGGUAAAGGCCCACCAAGGCGACGAUCCGUAGCUGGUCUGAGAGGAUGAUCAGCCAAACUGGAACUGAGACACGGUCCAGACUCCUACGGGAGGCAGCAGUGGGGAAUAUUGGAAAAUGGGCGCAAGCCUGAUCCAGCCAUACCGCGUGGGUGAAGAAGGCCUUCGGGUUGUAAAGCCCUUUUGUUGGGAAAGAAAAGCAGCAGGUUAAUACCCCGCUGUUCUGACGGUACCCAAAGAAUAAGCACCGGCUAACUUCGUG
rnacentral:rRNA from 1 species